CAGCCCAUAACUUAACGGAUAAAGUUUGACCCUCCGAAGGUCAGGAUAUGGGUUCAAUUCCCAUUGGGCUGU
rnacentral:tRNA from 1 species